rnacentral:tRNA from 1 species
UGUAGCGGUUAUCACGUCGCCCUGUCACGGCGAAGAUCGCGGGUUCGAUUCCCGUCGGGACCG